AUGAAUUGUUACGUGUUGCCUUACGCAAUCUUCCUCUCAUUCUCGGGGUGGGCCCCCUCCCCCGUGUUCCAAUCAAAUAUUGCCAAGUCAUACAAGCACAUCCAAUGCGUCACCGCCUCCUCCUUGAUCCAGAUUGACACGCCGGCUCUCUCACCUUGCCGGCAGGUCCCUCCACCGUCGCCGCCCCCUCCUCUCCCUGCCCCAGCCACCCUCCCUUCCGCCACCCCCGCCUGCUCUGCCGACAGCAGCAGCAACCCGCUGCUCGCCGACUUUGACUUCCCGCCCUUCGACCGCGUCGAGCCCGCGCACGUCCGUCCCGGGAUCCGCGCGCUCCUCGCCCGCCUCGAGGGCGAGCUGGAGGAGCUCAAGAAGGGCGUGGAGCCGGUGUGGGAGUGCUUGGUCCACCCGCUCGAGCGCAUCGUCGAUAGGCUUGACAUCGUCUGGAACGGCGUCGACCACAUCAAGGCCGUCAAGGACUCGCCCAACCUCCGUGCCGCCGUCGAGGACGUCCAGAUAGAAAUUUUGCAUAGAUCCUGGUCUCGUGCUUGCACCUUUGGUCCACAUGGUUUUUGUGGGGAUAUGGUACCGGACUGGAGCAUACAGGCUAAUGAUUUCUGGAUGCAUAUAGAUUGUGGAUGCCAUGUCUAA
rnacentral:rRNA from 1 species